rnacentral:rRNA from 1 species
UACGUAGGGGGCAAGCGUUGUCCGGAUUUAUUGGGCGUAAAGAGCUCGUAGGUGGUUCGGUAAGUCGGAUGUGAAAUCUCCAGGCUCAACCUGGAGGGUCAUUCGAUACUGCCGUGCUUGAGGACUGGAGAGGAGACUGGAAUUUACGGUGUAGCGGUGAAAUGCGCAGAUAUCAGGAAGAACACCCGUGGCGAAGGCGGCUCUCUGGAACGCAACUGACGCUGAGACGCGAAAGCGUGGGGAGCAAACAGG